GGGAGGAGCGGGGCGGUGAGAGCCUGGCUAGGCAGGCUGGAAACAGUAGCUCUUAACGGUCCCCCGCCCGUUGGUGGCAAGGCGGCUGGACUGGAAUCCCAGCAGGCGACAUGCGAGGAGGCGGGCAGCCCAGGAGGAGGGUUGGACACGGCAAUGUGGACCUCGCCGCUUCCACAACGAUGCUGGCUACUGAUCGCGUGCACUUCCUUGCCAAGGAAAAGAAAUUAAUGUUAUGACUGGUUGAAGACAAUUGUGAAGAAACUGCACUUUGAGGUUGUCUAUCUCUGUAUUCUGAUGGAAAAGCGUGGAGUUUAGAAGCACUGCUCACUCCUUCAGUUUCUAACAAGUUCGAGACUAUGGUUAGGUGGUGAGGAAGGCAGGCUCAGCACCCAAGCCUUGGGGAGAUGCAGAAAGGGCCCAUCCCAGGCACUCAGGUGGAGCAGGUGGUCUGUCCUAGAAAAUGUUCCAUGUGGAUUUGAGAAGAAUAUAUAUUCUCAUGUUGGAUGCAGUGCUGUGCAUAUGUUUGUUAGGUUUAGUUGUUUUAUAAUGUUGUUCAUGUUUUCUAUUUUUUAUCUUCUGUCUACUUGUUCUAUCCAUUAAUAUAAGUGGAGCAUUAAAGUCUCCAACUAUUACUGUUGAA
rnacentral:lncRNA from 1 species